AGAGACACUUCAGCCCAUUGAAGUGGUCUGGGUGCCAACUCCAAUCACCCUUAACCCUGCAAGUGUAACUAUUGCAGUUUUUACAAACUGCAAUAAUUACAUUGCAGGGUUAAGUCACACUUAAUCUGAAAUUGACAGGUCUCUUUUUACAGCACUGUAACUUCACAAAAUAUUGGCUAAGUCAUACAUUGGGCAUAUUGUUUUACUCAGAAGAUGUAAC